rfam:Clostridium collagenovorans DSM 3089 genome assembly, contig: EJ35DRAFT_scaffold00016.16
UAUCCGCCGCGGGCGUAGGAAAUUUGAGAGGAGCUGUCCUUAGUACGAGAGGACCGGGAUGGACUGACCUCUGGUGCACCAGUUGUUCCGCCAGGAGCACAGCUGGGUAGCUAUGUCGGGAAGGGAUAAACGCUGAAAGCAUCUAAGCGUGAAGCCUACCUCAAGAUUAGAUUUCCCAUGUAUAUCAGUAAGACCCCUUGAAGAACACAAGGUUGAUAGGUCGGAGGUGUAAGUAUGGUAACAUAUUCAGCUGACCGAUACUAAUAGGUCGAGGACUUGACCAA